ACUUUUUUUUGGGUAGGCUGACAGUAGGAAGGAAGGGACAGGGAGUGGAGAUGCGGAGAAGCGCUGAAGCAGCAGCUCCCUUGGCUCGUGGAGGCUGCCAGCUGGAACCCAAGGAACAAAGAGCAGUGCAGGUGGAGCUGCACGGGGAGGGCUGGGGGCAGAGAGGCACCAAAAUAGUAUCCCGGAGAUGACACUGAGACACAUCUCCCCUUUGCCCCUCCCUACCUCCAAGCUUGCUGAAACCAUGCAGUUCCGUAGGAAAUGGCAAGACCUUUCAGGAAGACAUGCCCAUGGCCAGCCAUAUAAUGGUAACCAAAGACUUAGUUGCUAAGUCAUUCUCAGCAGGAGUUGAAAGUCUGAGUUGUGUAAAGAGAUGGAAGGUGUGUUAAGCAAGCUCCUCAGGGAGAAUGAGAGGAAAGGUGCCUUCCCCAUAGAGUAGAUUACACGUUCAGAAACUCAAAUAUAUCAUCAGCCAUUUAAGCAUUGAAAAAAUAGCAGAUGUUAAAUGCUGACAGUCUACCUUGGUACCUAAUGAGACUGAUGAACGUACACACAGGAAUAUAAAUAGAUUUCUUAUUCUACUUGCAACCUUGGUAAUAGAUGAAUUACUCUUACCAUGAAGAAAUGAACUGAAUGUUCCUACUGCAGGUGAAUAUUUUCAAUGUGAUGGUUGUAGCAGUUCUCCCAGGUGGACCACAAGAAAAUGCUGCAUCAGCAAGAGUGAAACAUAUAACAACGUAAAAACAGCAUGGACGGGCAAAUAUCUAACAGAACAGAAACAUCAGCAGCAAGCCUAAAUAAACAUUUUAUAUUUCACAUUUCAUGGGAAGGAAAGGUCAUUUUAGUUUUAAAUCCUUUAAGCUUUACUGCAGGGAAGUAGUUCUCUAUGGUAAUGUGUGUUACUUAAUGAUUUGAAUCCCCCUUUCCUUGAAAGUACAGAACUCUGGUAUGCUCUUUCAGUAUAAAACUACUACCAUUUUACAGAAACAGUGACCCGGUUUUGAAAUGGCUUAAUUCCAUUCUAUAAAACAAAACUGCUGCACAAUAUUUCUUGGAAGAACUAAUGCCUCGCAGCAGCUGUUGAGAAAAGGAAGUAAAGUUUCAGAUCUUUAGAGUUGGUCCAAAUGAUUUGAGCACUUCAGACAAACUAAGUGAAUCUCUGAGCUAUAUAAAGUCACAUCAUAACUAUGUCACACAACCAAAAAGCGCCACGAAAGCUAAAAAAUGUUGUUUUAGCCAAUUUGACCAUAGGAUGGUCCUGCAACUACCUGUUUAAAGCACUUGAUUUGCCAGAAUUCUCAAUAUAGAAGUGAAUGAGAAACAUGGGAAAUUUCUUCUAAUCCAUUUAUUUAUAAGUAUCCCACAUCUACAGUCCUUGACACAUUGCUCCUCUUUCUCUUCAUUAAGAUAUGGCAAACUCUCUCCUGUUUUGAAACUUAACUUACACUUGAGUGACAAGAAGGCUACUAGAAGGACACAAAUAUUACUGUGUCUAUGCCAGUAUAAAUUUGGUUGAUACUGAAAUUUGCACUUAGCACUAAAUACUUUAUACUAUACAGUGAUUUAAAAAAAAAAAAAAAAAGAAGCUUAAAAUGCUUAUCUUCUCCUUUUGCUCUUUUGGAUAUUUCACCUAAGAGGUAUUUAAGAUCUGUCCUUCAGCAUCUGAAGAGAGUACAUUCACCACAAUUCCAGAGUGCCCUGUUUUGUUGCAGGGCUUAAAUUCAGUGGUUAUAUGGAAAUAAAGGGUCCUGCUAGAUUGAAUUUAGAAGUCUUUUGUAUAUAUGUCCUACAAACAAGUAUAUACAUGGUUAAAAAAAAAAAUGUAGUUUUUGAAAAACAGCUAAUUAGCAUUUCCACAAGAGAAAUAGUCCUUCGGAGAUUAUCUUCCUCAAGGAGGAUCCAGAUGUAGAUUAGUUCAAAUAAGAGGUGUAAUUACUGUGAUACAGCUGAGAACAGAGGGAGAGAGAAAGAGAGCAGGUGACUGAUACUCAGUGUAAAUAACAUUAAGAAUUAUUUUCCUGCUGACAGCAGCAUUGCCUGGUGCUGCUGCUGCUUCUUGUCCUGCGUACAAUUAACAAAUGUGCAGUUAGAAGAGUGGCACAGUUAGGAUGGUAUUUUACAGGUUUAUAGUUAGAAAGAUUAUCAUGAUGGAAAAAGACAAUCAAAAAUAAAUGCUCACCCAUACC